UACGUAGGGACCGAGCGUUGUCCGGAAUCAUUGGGCGUAAAGAGCGUGUAGGCGGCUAUUUAAGUCCUGCGUGAAAUCCUGCGGCUCAACCGCAGACGGUCGUGGGAAACUGGAUGGCUAGAGUGCGGGAGAGGAGAGUGGAAUUCCCGGUGUAGCGGUGAAAUGCGCAGAUAUCGGGAAGAACACCCGUGGCGAAGGCGGCUCUCUGGAACGCAACUGACGCUGAGACGCGAAAGCGUGGGGAGCAAACAGGG
rnacentral:rRNA from 1 species